AUGGAGGAGCAGAGCUACCUGGUGGAGCAUGUAGGCAACUCGUUGAAGGCAGAAGAGCAGUGUGGGAAAGUCAUUAUUAAACUACAAGGCAUAGGUUUGGGCUGGCUUACAUCACAAACGAAGGAGCAUAUCACCUUCUCCUCAUCUAUCAGCUGGUACUUAAUGGAGGUAUUGGAAAGAUCCCAGCAACACGUUGAUGCCCCAACCAGUAGAACCUUCACCAUGACUGAAUGGGUUGGAUUUCUCGCCGCACUGAUGCUCUGUCUCCAAAGUACGUACGGGGAUCCUGCGCUGACUCAACCAGGAUCCAUCUCAACAUCCACGGGGGAAACUGUGAAGAUCACCUGUACCAUGUCCGGAGGCAGCAUCGGUAGCUACUUCGCAAGCUGGUACUGGCAGAAACCCGGAAAUGCCCCGGUGUUAGUUUGGGACGAAUCUUAUGAUACGGCUUCGGGAAUCCCAGACCGAUUUACCGGGUCUGUGGACACAUCGAGUAACAAGAUGCAUUUAACCAUCACCAACGUGCAAUCGGAGGAUGCCGCCGAUUAUUACUGCGCGGUAGCAAGUAGUGGAAUAGUGACAUUCGGGAAAGGAACCAAACUAAACCUGAGCGAACCGCGGAGACCCACAGUUUCCCUCCUUCCACCUUCAUCGGUUCAAAUCACGGAAAAGAACACGGCGACCCUGGUGUGUUUGGUGAGCGGUUUUAACCCGGGAGCUGUGGAAAUCGAGUGGUCGAUAGAUGGCAGUGUCAGGGGGGAUAAUGUUGAGACCAGUCGGAUCCAACAGGAGACGGACAACACGUUCAGCGUGAGCAGUUAUCUGACCCUGUCAGCCUCAGAAUGGAACUUACACGAACUUUACUCCUGUGGGGUUAAACACGAGACUCUGACAAAUCCACUUCAGGGAACUAUUGCGAGAUCCAACUGUGGUUUUGCCAGCUGCAUCACUCCUGGAUAUCUGUGUUACACCUGCAAAAACCAACUCGCAAAGUACUUAAUGGAGGGAUUGGAAAGAUCCCAGCAACACCUUCUUGCCCCAAGCACUAGAACCUUCACCAUGACUGAAUGGGUUGGAUUUCUCGCCGCACUGAUGUUCUGUCUCCACAGUACGUACGGGGAUCCUACACUGACUCAACCAGGAUCCAUCUCAACAUCCCCGGGGGAAACUGUGAAGAUCACCUGUACCAUGUCCGGUGGAAGCAUCGGUAGCUACUAUACCAGCUGGUACUGGCAGAAACCCGGCAGUGCCCCGGUGUUAGUUUGGGACGAAGUUGAUGAUACGGCUUCGGGAAUCCCAGACCGAUUUACCGGGUCUGUGGACUCAUCGAGUAACAAGAUGCAUUUAAUCAUCACCAAUGUGCAAUCGGAGGAUACCGCCGAUUAUUACUGCGCGGUAGCAAGUAGUGGAAUAGUGACAUUCGGGAAAGGAACCAAACUGAACCUGAGCGAACCGCGGAGACCCACAGUUUCCCUCCUUCCGCCUUCAUCGGUUCAAAUCACGGAAAAGAACACGGCUACCCUGGUGUGUUUGGUGAGCGGUUUUAACCCGGGCGCUGUGGAGAUUGAGUGGUCGAUAGAUGGCAGUGUCAGGGGGGAUAAUGUUGAGACCAGUCGGAUCCAGCAGGAGACGGACAACACGUUCAGUGUGAGCAGUUAUCUGACCCUGUCAGCCUCAGAAUGGAACUUACACGAGGUUUACUCCUGUGGGGUUAAACACGAGACUUUGACAAAUCCACUUCAGAGAACUAUUGCGAGAUCCAACUGCAUCUGA